UUUCAAAAUUAAAAAAAAAAAUUGUGUGUUGAAUUAGCCAAUUUGAUUAUAAUGGCGCUUCGUCUUACGACCAUUGCUCUUCUAAAACGCACUCCUUUAUUACUCGUGCCAAAGUUAAAAGCAGCACCGCCAACACGCACGAUACUACUAAGAAAGAAUCUGGUACCGUUUUUAGAUGAUGAUCCUUGUGUGUUCUCAAAGAAAGCCGUCAUGCAUCAUUGGGGGGCAUUGCCCGUUAUUGCGAUUUCAUUUUUCUCGCUUGCCGCCGAAGUGUUAACCUGGUUGGUGAUCGCGGUUACCAGGCAUGAUGUUUCCUACACUGCCAAUUCGGCACACUACGAAUGCCUCGAGACCCGCGGUAGUCUAUAUUACCCAGCGAAGUACCUCAAGUUCAUGAGGUUCAAUCAGAAGUGCGAGGUUCCACAAGGUUUGCUUCUGGCCCAUCAAGGCGACACAGCAGGACCAACGUUUGAUGAUAAGAAGAAGUAGUUUGCAUAUCCAAUCCGUUCUGGUGUAGAAUUACACCCUGGUUACUUGAUAUGGAUUCAUAGAGGUAGGAGUUGACUAAGCUGGCCGGAAGGAAAUGCAAGCCCAGGGAAACCCUGUAGCCACUGUAGGUAGGAGACCUCAAAAUCGAAAUAAUCCAACGAUAGGAAAUUCUGUGCUCUCACUGCAGGAUCUUACUGGGCGCUGCGGAACGUCAGGCUGAAUGGAAAUGCCAGUUUCAGUUUUCUUUUCUAUACAAAUGGAGUGGUCAACAUAAUAAAAAAAAAUAAAACC